rnacentral:rRNA from 1 species
UACGUAGGGGGCAAGCGUUGUCCGGAUUUAUUGGGCGUAAAGAGCGUGUAGGCGGUUCGGUAGGUCCGUUGUGAAAACUCGAGGCUCAACCUCGAGACGCCGAUGGAAACCAUCGAACUAGAGUCCGGAAGAGGAGAGUGGAAUUCCUGGUGUAGCGGUGAAAUGCGCAGAUAUCAGGAAGAACACCCGUGGCGAAGGCGGCUCUCUGGGACGGUACUGACGCUGAGACGCGAAAGCGUAGGGAGCGAACAGG